rnacentral:tRNA from 1 species
GGAGGGGUGCCAGAGUGGACUAAUGGGACGGCCUGGAGAGCCGUGGCGGAUUUUUCCGCCUCGUGGGUUCGAAUCCCACCCCCUCCG